UACAGAGGGUGCGAGCGUUGUUCGGAAUACUGGGCGUAAAGCGCGCGCAGGCGGCCUUUUAAGUCUGACGGUGAAAUGCCGGGGCUCAACCCCGUGCCCGCCGCGGAUACUGGGAGGCUGGAGACACGUAGAGGCAAGCGGAAUUCCGGGUGUAGCGGUGGAAUGCGUAGAGAUCCGGAAGAACACCGGAGGCGAAGGCGGCUGCUGGGCGUAGUCUGGACGCUGAGGCGCGAAAGCGUGGGGAGCGAACGAG
rnacentral:rRNA from 1 species